UCAGACGGUCACCGACUCACUCUCAGUUCACAAAUCACAACCUUUUCCAAGCGUUUUGGGGGCCACAAAACUCAAAACCAAUCAAAACCCAAUACUCAAAAUCCAACAAUGGACUCCAUAGGCGUGCUCAUGCCAGUUCCAAUGUCCACAUAUUUAGAGCAAGAGCUCGAGAAGCGCUUCAACCUCUUGAAGCUCUGGACCGUCCCUCAAAAAACCCAGUUCCUCAAGGACCAUUCCGGCUCCAUCCGAGCCGUCGUCGGUAAUGCAGGGAACGGAGCGGACGCCGAGCUCAUCGAGACUUUGCCGAAGCUGGAGAUCGUGGCCAGUUUCAGCGUUGGGAUCGAUAAGGUCGAUUUGAACAAGUGCAGGGAAAAGGGUAUUCGGGUCACCAACACGCCCGAUGUUUUGACCGAUGACGUGGCGGACCUUGCUAUUGGGUUGGCGUUGGCUGUGUUGAGAAGGCUCUGUGAGAGUGAUCGGUAUCUGAGGAGUGGGCAGUGGAAGAAGGGUGACUACAAGUUGACCACCAAGUUCACUGGAAAAACAGUUGGCAUCCUCGGUCUGGGAAGAAUUGGCAAAGCAGUUGCCAAGAGAGCUGAGGCUUUUAGCUGCCCAAUCUCUUACCACUCCAGAACAGAAAAACCAGAGUUGAAGUACAAAUACUAUCCAUGUGUUGUAGAGUUGGCCUCGAACUGUGAUAUUCUGGUUGUUGUGUGCGCAUUAACUGACGAGACCCGUCACAUUAUUAAUCGUGAAGUCAUUGAUGCUUUGGGCCCAAAGGGUGUUCUCAUUAACAUUGGGAGGGGUCCUCAUGUUGAUGAACCUGAGAUGGUCUCUGCUCUGCUAGAAGGUCGGUUAGGUGGUGCUGGACUUGAUGUUUAUGAAAAUGAACCAGAAGUACCUGAGCAGUUGUUUGAGCUUGAGAAUGUGGUACUCUUGCCUCAUGUAGGAAGUGACACUGUACAAACUGACACUGCCAUGGCUGACCUUGUGAUUGGGAAUCUUGAGGCUCACUUUUCGAACAAACCAUUGUUGACACCAGUCGUUUAACAGAGUAUUUGAAGGUAAAGUUGAUUGAAGGCUUCAUUGUCUUGUUCUGGUACCAAAACUUCUUCAAUCCAUGACCAUUUUUUCAAGAGUUGGCAAAGAAUCUUGUAUUGUGUGUUUUGAAGAAUGGGGGAUUUCAUCCUUCACUUGCAAGUGCUUGGAACCUCCAACGAAUACAACAAUCUGAAGUAUCCAUUAAGUGGUGGAUACCCUCAAUCGGCAAGAUCUCCUUUACCCUAUGAAGAGUCUGUAAUUUCAAAAUGCCCUAAAAAGAGAGAAAUAAGAGAUGAGAGGAGAGAGAAGAGAAUUAAAGUGAUGAAAUUACCCUUGCACUCAGUCGUAGGUUUGAUAAAAGGAAAUGAAAUAAUUGGUGGGGUGGUUUUGGUGGGGUGUGUGUAGGGGUGAGGGCCCAAAAAGUAAUUCCAGCAACUCGGGUUGGCAGGGCAGCUGCUGGGGCCCACAAAACCAGGCCAGCCCUCAGGCGAGAGUAGCCCUAGUUCAAGUCCGAGUUUGCUAAAGUCAGCAACAAUUUAAAAAAAAAUCUACAAAAUAAUUCAGAUUUUUUUUAAAAAUAAAUUUUUAGUCAUAGUUUUCGCUU